rnacentral:rRNA from 1 species
AUUGAACGCUGGCGGCAGGCCUAACACAUGCAAGUCGAGCGGAUGAAGGGAGCUUGCUCCUGGAUUCAGCGGCGGACGGGUGAGUAAUGCCUAGGAAUCUGCCUGGUAGUGGGGGAUAACGUCCGGAAACGGGCGCUAAUACCGCAUACGUCCUGAGGGAGAAAGUGGGGGAUCUUCGGACCUCACGCUAUCAGAUGAGCCUAGGUCGGAUUAGCUAGUUGGUGGGGUAAAGGCCUACCAAGGCGACGAUCCGUAACUGGUCUGAGAGGAUGAUCAGUCACACUGGAACUGAGACACGGUCCAGACUCCUACGGGAGGCAGCAGUGGGGAAUAUUGGACAAUGGGCGAAAGCCUGAUCCAGCCAUGCCGCGUGUGUGAAGAAGGUCUUCGGAUUGUAAAGCACUUUAAGUUGGGAGGAGGGGCAGUAAGUUAAUACCUUGCUGUUUUGACGUUACCAACAGAAUAAGCACCGACUAACUUCGUG